UCACUGGUGUAGUGGUUUGAAUGCUAGACUACGAUUCUGGAGACCAGGGUUUGAUUCCCCGCUUGGCCGUGAA